rnacentral:rRNA from 1 species
GAUGAACGCUGACAGAAUGCUUAACACAUGCGAGUCUACUUGAACUUCGGUUUGGGUGGCGGACGGGUGAGUAACGCGUAAAGAACUUGCCUCACAGUUAGGGACAACAUUUGGAAACGAAUGCUAAUACCUGAUAUUAUGAUUUUAGGGCAUCCUAAAAUUAUGAAAGCUAUAUGCGCUGUGAGAGAGCUUUGCGUCCCAUUAGCUAGUUGGAGAGGUAACGGCUCACCAAGGCGAUGAUGGGUAGCCGGCCUGAGAGGGUGAACGGCCACAAGGGGACUGAGACACGGCCCUUACUCCUACGGGAGGCAGCAGUGGGGAAUAUUGGACAAUGGACCAAAAGUCUGAUCCAGCAAUUCUGUGUGCACGAUGACGUUUUUCGGAAUGUAAAGUGCUUUCAGUUGGGAAGAAAAAAAUGACGGUACCAACAGAAGAAGUGACGGCUAAAUACGUG